rnacentral:rRNA from 1 species
CCCACGGGCGGCAGCAGUGGGGAAUAUUGGACAAUGGGGGCAACCCUGAUCCAGCCAUGCCGCGUGUGUGAAGAAGGCCCUCGGGUUGUAAAGCACUUUCAGUGAGGAAGAACGCCUGGUGGUUAAUACCCAUCAGGAAAGACAUCACUCACAGAAGAAGCACCGGCUAACUCCGUGCCAGCAGCCGCGGUAAUACGGAGGGUGCGAGCGUUAAUCGGAAUUACUGGGCGUAAAGCGCGCGUAGGUGGCUUGAUAAGCCGGUUGUGAAAGCCCCGGGCUCAACCUGGGAACGGCAUCCGGAACUGUCAAGCUAGAGUGCAGGAGAGGAAGGUAGAAUUCCCGGUGUAGCGGUGAAAUGCGUAGAGAUCGGGAGGAAUACCAGUGGCGAAGGCGGCCUUCUGGACUGACACUGACACUGAGGUGCGAAAGCGUGGGUAGCAAACAGGAUUAGAUACCCCGGUAGUC